rnacentral:rRNA from 1 species
GAUUUGAAAGGCGCUUUCGGGUGUCGCUGAUGGAUGGACCCGCGGUGCAUUAGCUAGUUGGUGAGGUAACGGCUCACCAAGGCCACGAUGCAUAGCCGACCUGAGAGGGUGAUCGGCCACAUUGGGACUGAGACACGGCCCAAACUCCUACGGGAGGCAGCAGUAGGGAAUCUUCGGCAAUGGACGAAAGUCUGACCGAGCAACGCCGCGUGAGUGAAGAAGGUUUUCGGAUCGUAAAACUCUGUUGUUAGAGAAGAACAAGGAUGAGAGUAACUGUUGUCGGCGUGACGGUAUCCAACCAGAAAGCCACGGCUAACUACGUGCCAGCAGCCGCGGUAAUACGUAGGUGGCAAGCGUUAUCCGGAUUUAUUGGGCGUAAAGCGAGCGCAGGCGGUUUUUUAAGUCUGAUGUGAAAGCCCUCGGCUUAACCGAGGAAGUGCAUCGGAAACUGGGAAACUUGAGUGCAGAAGAGGACAGUGGAACUCCAUGUGUAGCGGUGAAAUGCGUAGAUAUAUGGAAGAACACCAGUGGCGAAGGCGGCUGUCUGGUCUGUAACU